rnacentral:misc_RNA from 1 species
UCCGGUUUGUCACCGGCAGUCAUUCUAGAGUGCCCAACCAAAUGCUGGCAACUAAAAUCAAGGGUUGCGCUCGUUGCGGGACUUAACCCAACAUCUCACGACACGAGCUGACGACAACCAUGCACCACCUGUCUCCUUUGUCCCGAAGGUACUCGCUAUCUCUAGCGUCUUCAAAGGGAUGUCAAGACCUGGUAAGGUUCUUCGCGUUGCUUCGAAUUAAACCACAUACUCCACUGCUUGUGCGGGUCCCCGUCAAUUCCUUUGAGUUUCAGUCUUGCGACCGUACUCCCCAGGCGGAAUGCUUAAUGUGUUAACUUCGGCACCAAGGGUAUCGAAACCCCUAACACCUAGCAUUCAUCGUUUACGGCGUGGACUAC